rnacentral:rRNA from 1 species
UGGGGAAUAUUGGACAAUGGGCGAAAGCCUGAUCCAGCCAUGCCGCGUGUGUGAAGAAGGUCUUCGGAUUGUAAAGCACUUUAAGUUGGGAGGAAGGGCAUUAACCUAAUACGUUAGUGUUUUGACGUUACCGACAGAAUAAGCACCGGCUAACUCUGUGCCAGCAGCCGCGGUAAUACAGAGGGUGCGAGCGUUAAUCGGAAUUACUGGGCGUAAAGCGCGCGUAGGUGGUUUGUUAAGUUGGAUGUGAAAUCCCCGGGCUCAACCUGGGAACUGCAUUCAAAACUGACUGACUAGAGUAUGGUAGAGGGUGGUGGAAUUUCCUGUGUAGCGGUGAAAUGCGUAGAUAUAGGAAGGAACACCAGUGGCGAAGGCGACCACCUGGACUAAUACUGACACUGAGGUGCGAAAGCGUGGGGAGCAAACA